UACAGAGGGUGCGAGCGUUGUCCGGAAUCACUGGGCGUAAAGGGCGCGUAGGUGGCGGCCCAAGUCCAUGGUGAAAGCUCGACGCUCAACGUCGAGUCGGCCACUGAUACUGUUGGGCUUGAGCACUGUAGAGGCUAAUGGAAUUCCGGGUGUAGCGGUGGAAUGCGUAGAGAUCCGGAAGAACACCGGUGGCGAAGGCGGUAGCUGGG
rnacentral:rRNA from 1 species